AUGUGUUUUUAUAAUAGUCACAGGGAAACAAGAUGGAAUCUGGGGGAGCUGAAUUCCAUCCCUAAUUGUUUAGAAAUUAUUAUUAUUAUUAUCAUGGUGUGGAUAUGGGUGUGUAGUGUCAUGGUGUUCAUGCGCCAUGGUGUGCCUAUGGGACUGUGUGCAUUUGCAAUGGUGUGCAUAUGUCAUGGUGUGUGUGUGUGUAUGUGUGAUAGUGUUCAUGAGCCAGGGUCUGGAUAUGGGACUGUGUGCAUGUGCCAGGGUGUGCAUAUGGCAUGCCAUGCAUGUGUGAUUGUGUCCAUGUUGCAUGGAGUGCAUAUGUCAUGGUGUGUUCCAUGGUGUGCAUAUAUCACGGUGUUUACUGUCAGGUUUGCAUGUGCCACUGUAUGCAUGUAUCAUGGUGUGCAUCAGGUGCCAUGGCAUGCAUCUGUCAUGAUGUGCAUGUGUCACAGUGUGCAUGUGGCAUGGUUUUCAUGGGUCAUGGUGUGCAUUUGGCAUGGUAUACAUGCCACGGUGUGCAUUUAUCAUAGUGUGCAUGCGUCAUGGUGUGUAUGUGUCAGAGUAUGCACCUAUCACUAUAUGCAUGUGUCAUGGUAUACAUGUGUUAUGGUGUGCAUGUGUCAUGAUGUGCUUGUGCCAUGUUGCGUAUGUUAAUGGCAUGCAUGAGAGAGAGAGAGAGAGAGAGAGAGAGAGAGAGAGAGAGAGAGACUCAGCGCCUGCGCACAGGUGGGUCAGGCAGCCACACUGUAACUGUAAUUCUGGGACAGUGGAGAUGAGCAGACUACUGGAAAUCUCUGGUCUAUCAGUCUGGAUAACCUUGAGUACAAGCCAAGAGAGAGACUUGGUCUCAAAAACAAACAAACAAAUAAGGGGGUUGAUGUAACCUGAGAAACACCUCACAUUGCCCUCUGACCUCCACAUGUGUAUAAACACAUGUGCAAACAUAUUGACACCCACACAUGUGCAGAAAUGAUAAUAAUGGGGCUGGAGAGAUGGCUCAGCGGUUA
rnacentral:lncRNA from 1 species